rnacentral:rRNA from 1 species
GAUGAACGCUAGCUACAGGCUUAACACAUGCAAGUCGAGGGGCAGCACAGAGAUAGCUUGCUAUCUUGGGUGGCGACCGGCGCACGGGUGAGUAACGCGUAUCCAACCUGCCCAUUACUCUGGGAUAGCCUUGCGAAAGUAAGAUUAAUACCGGAUGUUGUUAAAAACCCGCAUGAGUUUUUAACCAAAGAUUUAUUGGUAAUGGAUGGGGAUGCGUGACAUUAGGUAGUUGGUGAGGUAACGGCGCACCAAGCCUACGAUGUCUAGGGGUUCUGAGAGGAAGGUCCCCCACACUGGAACUGAGACACGGUCCAGACUCCUACGGGAGGCAGCAGUGAGGAAUAUUGGUCAAUGGACGGGAGUCUGAACCAGCCAAGUAGCGUGCAGGAUGACGGCCCUCUGGGUUGUAAACUGCUUUUAGUUGGGAAUAAAAAGAGGGACGUGUCCCUAAUUGUAUGUACCAUCAGAAAAAGGACCGGCUGAUUCCGUGCCAGCAGCCGCGGUAAGAC